rnacentral:rRNA from 1 species
UACGUAGGGCGCAAGCGUUAUCCGGAAUUAUUGGGCGUAAAGAGCUCGUAGGCGGUUUGUCGCGUCUGCCGUGAAAGUCCGGGGCUCAACUCCGGAUCUGCGGUGGGUACGGGCAGACUAGAGUGAUGUAGGGGAGACUGGAAUUCCUGGUGUAGCGGUGAAAUGCGCAGAUAUCAGGAGGAACACCAGAGCGAAAGGCAGU